rnacentral:lncRNA from 1 species
CAUCCACUCAAUCCGUAAGUCACUAUUAUCUCUUUUAUAGGACCUGUGACAGAUUCCAGAAAAGGUCUCCCUACAAGAGGCUGCUGUCCUCCCUAUAACUUGUGGCACUGCAAUUUUUGCUCUUGAGCAUCGGGCCCAUUCCCAGCCCGGGUUUCGGAAGUAGCAUUCAUCUUUCGUUGGCACAGAGAAAUUGUUUUAGUGAUGGCAGCGGCUGGAGCACAGGCCUUGCGGUGAUGUGACAACAAAUGUUCUUCAGGCCAAGGUAAUAUAGCUGCUGCUGGAAGCGACGAGAAGUGCAAGGUGGCGGUGCAGAGGGGUGCGCAGUCCAGCGUUAACUACAGUUAGGGCAGCCUGAAGGAGGCAGUGAGGAAGCUGGUGGGCUAGGGUGGGGUGAAUGUGGCCAUCGACAUGGUGGG